rnacentral:rRNA from 1 species
GAUGAACGCUGGCGGCGUGCCUAAUACAUGCAAGUCGAGCGAACAGACGAGGAGCUUGCUCCUCUGACGUUAGCGGCGGACGGGUGAGUAACACGUGGAUAACCUACCUAUAAGACUGGGAUAACUUCGGGAAACCGGAGCUAAUACCGGAUAAUAUAUUGAACCGCAUGGUUCAAUAGUGAAAGACGGUUUUGCUGUCACUUAUACAUGGAUCCGCGCCGCAUUAGCUAGUUGGUAAGGUAACGGCUUACCAAGGCAACGAUGCGUAGCCGACCUGGGAGGGUGAUCGGCCACACUGGAACUGAGACACGGUCCAGACUCCUACGGGAGGAAGCAGUAGGGAAUCUUCCGCAAUGGGCGAAAGCCUGACGGAGCAACGCCGCGUGAGUGAUGAAGGUCUUCGGAUCGUAAAACUCUGUUAUUAGGGAAGAACAAAUGUGUAAGUAACUAUGCACGUCUUGACUGUACCUAAUCAGAAAGCCACGGCUAACUACGG